rnacentral:sRNA from 1 species
GGGGGUUUAGGGGAAUAGACAUCUAUAUGUGGUUUAGGGGAAUAGACAUCUAUAGGAGGUUUAGGGGAAUAGACAUCUAUAGGAGGUUUAGGGGAAUAGACAUCUAUAGGAGGUUUAGGGGAAUAGACAUCUAUAGAAGGUUUAGGGGAAUAGACAUCUAUAGGAGGUUUUGGGGAAUAGACAUCUAUAGGAGGUUUAGGGGAAUAGACAUCUAUAGAAGGUUUAGGGGAAUAGACAUCUAUAGGAGGUUUAGGGGAAUAGACAUCUAUAGGAGGUUUAGGAUAAGGAUAACAUCCUUCAUUUCCAUAGCCUGAUGCUGGUGUGCGACCAUCUGGACAGCAUCCAUAUCUUGUGCUUAUACAGCCACCAACGUACGUACGAGGUUUAGUGGGAUAAUCAUUUGGAGGUGCAUAACAUCCUUUAUUGCCAUAGCCUUCAGCAGGUGUUAUGCCAUCAGGACAGCAGCCAUAUUUAGAAUAACUACAGCUACCUAAAAUACAGUUUGAAAAAGUUAUGUUAC